rnacentral:misc_RNA from 1 species
CGAAGGCAAUGAUUGAAAAAAGUGGGGGUACAACGUGCAUUGGAAGAGUUCUGGCCAGUAUUCGCGUGUUGCACUGAAGCUAGAACUACUAAUUGCGUUGCACCUGUACGAACGAAGCGCGCCAUCGUGGGCAUAUAAUUUUAAUCUUGUUUUUCGCGACGACUUCUUUUUUUCGCCCCGGUUCCUUCUUCCGCUUUCUUCCGUCCGCGAUUUAUUUUCACGUGUAACGAUAUCGUUCGUUGGUUUCGAGACCGAGGAAACCGGAAGUUGUUCACAUGAGCCGAGGAUCCAUCUCCAGUUGGCAAGAUUAUGGACGCAGAAAUUCUCAAAUUAUGCCACAAUUUAGUGGCGCUCCCGUGGAAUUUAUGACUAGCGAUGACAUCGAGUGUAAAAGAGGCGAUGGUUGGUUUUUAUCGUACACAAAGAUAGCGGGGAUCGUCGUAGUUUUUAUUAUCGGUGUCGUUGCCGCAGGAUUUCUUGGAUGGUACAUCAAUUCGUUACCCAAGAAAAAACCUUUCACAACUCUAGAUUUGCUCAACGAUGAAAUCGAGGAUACUGAGGGCGUCGGUGAAAAUGCGGUUUCACCUUUCAUUCAUCCCUUGAAAUAUCGUCUCGAAUUAACACCGAUUAUCGAUAUUAACGGUCCAUCAAGGGUAAUGGGCCGGAUGGUUAUCGAUUUUCUCGUAAACGAUACAGCGGGUUUAAAUAAAUUCUCUCUAAAUGCGAAGAACAUUACGGUGACGAGAUAUAAAUUAUCAUCGUUGGAUUUAGAAAAAAAGACGACGAGAAAAAGACGAAGAAGAAGAGCCAAUGAUGUUGUUAAUGACAACGCGAUGUCUGGUAGUAGUGUAUAUUCUAUAGAAAAUGACGUCUUGGUAAGCUUGACGGAAAACGAAACGAUUCUGUACGAGAAAAAUAUUGAGCAUCUAUCGAAAAACGUGUCCUCCAUUGAAAAAACCAAGCUUUCCUCGUUAAAUUAUGCCUCUGUUUCCAAUAUCGAUAAAAUUAAAAAUUCGAACGUGGAUGAUAAACAAUAUGAAUCCGUGAUGACACCUGAUGAUUCUUUUAAAAGUGUCUCAUCGAAUGAAAUACAGAUUGCAGAAUACAAUAUAGACGAAGAUAAAGAAGUUCACACAAUUCAAUUGAAAACUCGGAUAUAUCAAGGAGUUUAUUCAUUUGAGAUCGAAUACGAGGCGUUAAUCGACGAAAAUGUAUUCUUCAUCGCAAAUUAUAGCACAUUUGGCGAAGAGAGCAGAUGGUUAAUGGGGACGAAAUUGAAACACUCCGGUGCUCGAUGUCUUUUCCCAGUUUUCGACGAUACCGUGCACAAGUCAGUUUUCUCGGUAUCCAUAACACGUUCCAAAGAAAUGAUAGUACUCUCAAAUAUGCCCCUCAGGACUUUAAGGGAUGUGACAAACACUUUAAUGGCAGUUAAUAUUUUUGACGAUUCUCCGCCUAUGUCUCCGCAUAAUUUGGCCUUUAUAAUGGGUCAUAUCGAGACUAUAAACGCGACGUUUGUAGGAGACACUGAAGUCUUGGCAACGUUCUGGUGUGAUUCCAACAGAAGCUCACAAGAGACUUAUUUAAUCGACAAACUGAACACAGUUGUCGUUAACCUAAUCGACGUAUUUUCGACGUCUUAUCCCUUGCCUAAGAUAGAUAUAGUAAGCCUUCCUCCAGGGAUUGACGAGAAUAUCGGAAGUUUGGGAUUAAUUGCACUGAAGCAGUCGAUAUUCUAUACGACCGAUGAAUCGCCACUAGUCACGAAAAACAACGCUCUGAAGAUUCUAGUCACCUUAAUGGGGCAGCAAUGGCUCGACGAAUUUAUGAAUGCGAAUCGAACGGAUGCUUGGAUCUUCGAAAGUUUUCUCAUAUACAUCCAGCACGAGAUCGUUCCAAAGAUAGAUUCGUCAUUGGGCUUGAGUAACUCUUUCAUCGUGGAUGUCGAGUUUCAAGUGAUGGACACCGAUGGGUACAGCAUCUCGAGGCCUCUUCACGAGAACAUCAAUUAUCAUCUGUUGCAGAAUUUUAACGACGAACACGCGAAAGGUGCAUGCCUGAUACGCAUGUUGCAUGGCGCGAUAAACGAUACCGACUUUAGGAACAACUACAAGAAACUGAUAAACAGGUGGAAAUAUAACAGCACGGAUGUAGCCGAUUUCGUGAAUAUUCUAGCGGAAGAUGCGAUUAAAUUUCCAUUUGAAGUCUCGUUGGAAGAAACAAUAAAUUCUUGGAUCUUUCAAGGUGGAUAUCCACUCGUAACUGUUAUAAGAAAUUACGAAGAAGAAUCCGCCAUCAUUUAUCAGGAACAAUUUGCAAUCGAUCGACCAUCAGAAAGUGUUUCCAAAUUCUGGAAUAUUCCAUUGAAUUACGUUAAUGAAGACGGGGAUUGGUCGAAUCCAAUAAAAAUAUGUUUUCCAUCUGAGCCUAAAAUCGAUUUGCAUGAUAUUGGUUCCAACGAGUCUUGGAUUCUUUUUAACAUAAAUAAGACUGGAUAUUAUCGUGUUCAUUACGACGAAAGAAAUUGGAUGCUGUUAAAAAUGGCUUUUUCGAAAAAUCACGAAUCGUUCCCACCGGAAACAAGAGCCUCGAUCAUAGACGAUAUUUUUAAUCUAGCUGCGAUAGGUUUAAUAAAAUACGAGACCACCUUCGAUUUUAUUAAAUAUAUGCAAAUGAAAGAGAGGCAUUAUUUACCAUGGAUCGCGCUUAUGAGACACUUGUUCAAAUUAAAUAGGCUUUUAUAUGAAACUUCGAUCUUCAAUGAUUUCCAGGAAUUCGUAGUGAGAUUCGUGUCUCCGUUGUACAAUGAAGUAGGAUCAAUGUUGCAGCAAGGCUCGCAUUUAACAAUGAUUGCUAUAAAAUUAGCAUGCACGUUCGAGCAUACGAAAUGUUUAGAUUGGUCGAGAAACAUUUUCGAAAAUGCCAAGUCCAAUAACGAGAUCCAGGAAAUGAUCGAAUUGUUCUAGAAUCCCUUCUUACAUUCGUGAAACGUUUUAUUGUACUAUCGCUCGUUACGGCACAAAAAAGGAAUGGAACUAUUUCACGGAAAAAUUAUCUUCCACAGUCGAUGAGGAGGAAAAGAAACGUUUGUUAUCGUCGUUCUCUUGUUUCCAAGCUUCUUGGAUUUUACAAUCUAUUUUCAACGAAAUACUUCAUGCGGAAC